rnacentral:misc_RNA from 1 species
GGAGUUCAGUCUUCCCAGGCCCACCACUUUCAUCGAGUGAGCAUUCGUCUUCUGGUUACGGGGCCAUAGCUCAGCUGGGAGAGCGCGUGCUUUGCAAGCAUGAGGUCGUCGGUUCGAUCCCGUCUGGCUCCACCAGAUGGUUUGAUCACCGAGAUCUUGUACCGUCGUCCGCGAAACAUCACUUCGCAUCCUGCUAGUCUGGAUAGACAGCAAGAUGCGUGUUUUCUGACAUCGUAAAGAGGAGAUCGAUCCGAGUUGGGUCGUGCAGCGGAUUGUUGCGCGAAUCCUUCAUUAUCUCCGGAUCAUUUUCGGCGCUCGCUUUCAGCCGUGAGGUUGAAUGCGAGUUGUAAAAUGAUCCUUUUAGCGAAGCUUGACCGCCUCGCUAUCGGAACGAUCUUACGAAGCAAGCUGGUCUUUCUAGUCAAUGUCCGGCUGUGCGUAGCGUUCAUCGAGGGCGCGUGCCGUAAGGCAAUCGUACAGACAACAUUCUGCCGAGUGUGUGGACAUUGAUAAUGAGAGCAAUCAAGUGCCUUAAGGGUGUUCGGUGGAUGCCUUGGCGCUGAGAGGCGAUGAAGGACGUGCUACGCUGCGAUAAGCCGUGGGGAGCUGCGAAGAAGCUUUGAUCCGCGGAUUUCCGAAUGGGGAAAACCCCGGA